AGCAGUAGUUCAGACAGAUAUCAGCGGGUAGUCGACUUAUUAACAAAGUCGAACUCAGAUCAUUAUAGCAACAGGUACGAAUCUGAACAACCAGAAGUUAUCGUUUUCGUUCGACCUCAACGUCAUCGUCAGGAGAAAAUGCGAGCAUUUGUUUUAAGUUUGGUCAACGUUCGCGACAUAGAAUUAAACUCUGGUCGCUAAAAGCAAAUUAAAGUAAAAAAAUA